UAAUAAGAAGUAAAAUUUACAUUUAGUUUCGACCUAAACUUUGGUGUUAAAACACCCUUAUUAA
rnacentral:tRNA from 1 species